rnacentral:rRNA from 1 species
UCGAGGAUCUUUGGCAAUGGGCGCAAGCCUGACCAAGCGACGCCGCGUGCGCGAUGAAGGCCUUCGGGUUGUAAAGCGCUGUCGAGGGGGAGGAAGCCGCAAGGUUGACCUAUCCCUGGAGGAAGGACGGGCUAAGUUCGUGCCAGCAGCCGCGGUAAGACGAACCGUCCUAACGUUGUUCGGAAUCACUGGGCUUAAAGGGCGCGUAGGCGGGCGAUCCAGUCCGGGGUGAAAUCUUUCGGCUUAACCGGAAAACAGCCUUGGAUACUGAUCGUCUCGAGGGAGGUAGGGGCCUGUGGAACUUCCGGUGGAGCGGUGAAAUGCGUUGAUAUCGGAAGGAACGCCGGUGGCGAAAGCGACGGGCUGGACCUCUUCUGACGCUGAGGCGCGAAAGCUAGGGGAGCAAACGG